UACGUAGGGUGCGAGCGUUAAUCGGAAUUACUGGGCGUAAAGUGUGCGCAGGCGGCCGCGCAAGUCGAGUGUGAAAGCCCCGGGCUUAACUUGGGAAUUGCGCUCGAAACUACGUGGCUGGAGUGUGGCAGAGGAAGGUGGAAUUCCAGGUGUAGCGGUGAAAUGCGUAGAUAUUGGGAAGAACACCAGUGGCGAAGGCGGCUAUCUGGACCGGUACUGACGCUGAGGCGCGAAAGCGUGGGGAGCAAACAGG
rnacentral:rRNA from 1 species